rnacentral:rRNA from 1 species
CAGCAGCCGCGGUAAUACGUAGGUGGCAAGCGUUAUCCGGAAUUAUUGGGCGUAAAGCGCGCGUAGGCGGUUUUUUAAGUCUGAUGUGAAAGCCCACGGCUCAACCGUGGAGGGUCAUUGGAAACUGGAAAACUUGAGUGCAGAAGAGGAAAGUGGAAUUCCAUGUGUAGCGGUGAAAUGCGCAGAGAUAUGGAGGAACACCAGUGGCGAAGGCGGCUUUCUGGUCUGUAACUGACGCUGAUGUGCGAAAGCGUGGGGAGCAAACAGGAUUAGAGACCCCAGUAGUCCCUGUCUCUUAUAC